UGGAUGGCAAAUGGAAGAAACGUCUGA
rnacentral:piRNA from 2 species